rnacentral:lncRNA from 10 species
AGGAAAUAGACAAACUGAAAGGAGAGCUCAUAGAAAUGAACCUACAAAUAGUUGACAGAGCCAUUCAGGUAGUUCGAAGUGCUUUAGCUAACCAGAUAGAUUGGACAGAAAUUGGGUUAAUUGUGAAAGAAGCCCAGGCUCAAGGAGACCCUGUUGCAAGUGCAAUCAAAGAAUUAAAACUACAAACAAACCAUGUUACAAUGCUGCUAAGAGGAGGAAGAUGAUGAUGUUGAUGGUGACGUCAAUGUUGAGAAAAAUGAAACUGAACCACCAAAAGGAAAAAAGAAAAAACAAAAGAAUAAACAGCUGCAGAAGCCUCAGAAAAAUAAGCCCUUACUUGUAGAUGUUGAUCUCAGCUUGUCAGCAUAUGCCAAUGCCAAAAAGUA